AUUGAACGCUGGCGGCAUGACUAACACAUGCAAGUCGAACGGUAACAGGCCGCAAGGUGCUGACGAGUGGCGAACGGGGGAGUAAGGCAUCGGAAUGUGUCCAGUCGUGGGGGAUAACUACUCGAAAGAGUAGCUAAUACCGCAUACGAGCUAUGGAUGAAAACGGGGGACCGCAAGGGCUCGCGCGAUUGGAGCGGCCGAUGUCGGAUUAGGUAGUUGGUGGGGUAAAGGCUCACCAAGCCAACGAUCCGCAGCUGGCCUGAGAGGAGGAGCAGCCACACUGGAACUGAGACACGGCCCAGACUCCUACGGGAGGCAGCAGUGGGGAAUCUUGCACAAUGGGCGCAAGCCUGACCGAGCAACGCCGCGUGAGGGAAGAAGGCCUUCGGGUCUUAAAGCCCUUUUGUUGGGAAAGAACAGCAGUGUGUGAAUCCCUGGACGUCUUGACGGUACCUAAACAAAAAGCCCCGGCUAACUACGUG
rnacentral:rRNA from 1 species